GGAGAAGUACUCAAGUGGCUGAAGAGGCGGUCCUGCUAAGACUGUAGGGGGCGUUCGUCCCGCGAGGGUUCAAAUCCCUCCUUCUCCGCCA
rnacentral:tRNA from 1 species